GAUGAACGCUGGCUGUGUGCCUAAUACAUGCAUGUCGAGCGAAGCACUUUUGUGCUUAGCGGCGAAUGGGUGAGUAACACGUACUUAACCUACCCUCAAGAUUGGGACAACACUUGGAAACGAGUGCUAAUACCAAAUACGUAUUUUUAUCGCAUGAUAGAUAUAUAAAAGGAGCUUCGGCUUCACUAGAGGAUGGGAGUGCGCUACAUUAGUUAGUUGGUAGGGUAAUGGCCUACCAAGACUAUGAUGUAUAGCGGGGCCGAGAGGCUGAUCCGCCACACUGGAACUGAGAUACGGCCCAGACUCCUACGGGAGGCAGCAGUAGGGAAUUUUCCACAAUGAACGAAAGUUUGAUGGAGCGACACAGCGUGCAGGAUGAAGGUCUUCGGAUUGUAAACUGCUGUUAUAAGAGAAGAAAAACCCUGGUAGGUAAUGACCAGGACUUGACGGUACCUUAUCAGAAAGCGACGGCUAACUAUGUGCCAGCAGCCGCGGUAAUACAUAGGUCGCAAGCGUUAUCCGGAAUUAUUGGGCGUAAAGAGUUCGUAGGUGGUUUUGUAAGUCUGAAGUUAAAUACCGGGGCUCAACCCCGGCCCGCUUUGGAUACUGCAAAACUAGAGUAAUAGAGAGGUUAGUGGAACUCCAAGUGAAGCGGUGGAAUGCGUAGAUAUUUGGAAGAACACCAAUGGCGAAGGCAACUAACUGGAUAUUAACUGACACUGAGGAACGAAAGCGUGGGUAGCAAACAGG
rnacentral:rRNA from 1 species